rnacentral:rRNA from 1 species
CACGAACCGUACGAACGUUAUUCGGAAUUACUGGGCUUAAAGGGUUUGUAGGCGGCCUUGUAAGUCAGGUGUGAAAGCCCUCGGCUCAACCGAGGAACAGCGCUUGAUACUGCAAGGCUUGAGGGAGACAGGGGUAAGCGGAACUGAUGGUGGAGCGGUGAAAUGCGUUGAUAUCAUCAGGAACACCGGUGGCGAAAGCGGCUUACUGGGUCUCUUCUGACGCUGAGGUGCGAAAGCGUGGGGAGCAAACAGG